CCAGUUGGUGCAAAUGGUUAAUGCAUUUGGCUGUUAACCAAAAGAUUGGUGGUUUGAGUCCACCCAGAGGUA
rnacentral:tRNA from 1 species